CAAACAAGCCAGAUAUGGAGGCAAGAAUUGGCAAGAAUCAAAACAAUGAUACAACUUUUAAAAAGCAAAUGCAAAAUACUACACAAAAACCCACAAAUACUAGCAAACACAAGACAGAAAACAAAGACUUAUCUUUGAACCACAAUGUGACUGAAAGGACUGAGAAAAAAUUAAAUGGAACUAAAACUGGUUCUAAUCAAACAGCACGUUUAAAUGUUAAAACAAGUGUAGGGUCAGGAAAUCAACAUGAGACUUCUGUUAAUAAUGUUACAGCUUCUACUGAAAAAGAUCAAGUAGAGAAAAAGCCAGAAAAGCAUCUAAAUGUAUUUAAUACUACUAAAACAGGCAAGAAAACAAACAAGGCUGACAUCACUCUUCUUAACGACAGAUCAACUGUAAAGGAAAUCGUGGAACAACAAUUAAAUGUAAUUUCUUCCAGUGAAAAAGACAAAAAAACGAAUGAAAACAGUACCACACUUACUGAAGAAGGAUCAACUGGAAAGAAAAUUCCAGCAAAGCAUCUAAAUGUAAAUACUGUAACCAUAAAAGACAAGAAGUUGCACCAGGACAACAUCACACUUCUUAAAAAUGGAUCAUCAUUAACAAAAAAGUUAGACAGCAGUCUCAAUGUAACGACUGUCAGUGACAGUGACAAAAAGUUAUUAAAGGAUGAUAAGACAACAGCUCUCAAAGAAGUAACACCAGAACAGAAAAAAGUGGAAACACGUGAAAAUGUUACAACUUCUAAUGACAAAUACAAAAACCAGGUUAAUACCACAUUACUUCUUGAAGCAACAUUUGGGCAGAAAAAAGAAGACAAACAUUCAAAUAUAACUACUUUGAUUGGCAAGGACAAGAAGCCAACCCAAAGCAAAACCACCGGUCUUAAAGAAAAAACAACUGAAAUUAAAAAUGUACAUGGUAAUGAGACAACAACUAAAGAAGAAACAUCUGGACAGAAAAAGGUGGACAAGCACCUAAAUGUAACUACUUUCACUGAAAAAGACAAGAAGCAAAAACAGGUUAUUGUCACACAUCUUAAAGAUGUUACAUCUGCUCAGAAAAAAAUUGAAAAAGAUUUGAAUGUACCGACGUCCACUGACAAGAACAAAACGCCUGCCCAGGUUGGCAACAAUCUUGUUAAAGAAGCAACAUAUGAACAGAAAAAAGGCAAGAAGACACUAAUUAUUGUGGAAAAUCAUUUAAAUGUCACUGUUUCCACUGAAAAUGACAAUAAAAAAUCAAUCCUAAUGGAAACUACUUCCACUGAAAAAGGCAACAAGACACCAGCACAAGUGGAAAAACACCUAAAUAUAACUAUUUCCAGUAAAACAGACUCUAAGACACCAAUCCAGGUGGGAAAACACCUAAAUGUAACUACGUCUACUGAAAAAGACUCUAAGACACCAAUCCAGGUGGGAAAACACCUAAAUGUAACUACUUCCACUGAAAAAGGCAAGAAGACACAAACACAGGUGGGAAAACACCUAAAUGUAACUACUUUUACUGUGAAAGGCAAUAAGACAACAACCCAAGUGGAAAAACACUUAAAUGUAACUACUUCUACUGAAAAAGGCAAAAAGUCACAGACACAGGUGGGAAAACACCAAAAUGUAACUAUUUCUACUGAAAAAGACACUAAGACACCAAUCCAGGUGGGACAACACCAAAAUGUAACUACUUCCACUAAAAAAGACACUAAGACACCAACACAGGUGGGAAAACACCAAAAUGUAACUAAUUCUACUGUAAAAGACACUAAGACACCAAUCCAGGUGGGACAACACCAAAAUGUAACUACUUCCACUGAAAAAGGCAAGAAGACACAAACACAGGUGGGAAAACACAUAAAUGUAACUACCUUUACUGUGAAAGGCAAUAAGACAAUAGCCCAAGUAGAAAAACACCAAAAUGUAACUACUUCUCUUGAAAAAAACACUAGGACACCAAUCCAGGUGGGAAAACACCUAAAUGUAACUACUUCUACUGUAAAAGGCAAAAAGUCACAGACACAGGUGGAAAAACACCUAAAUGUAACUACUUCCACUGAGAAAAGCAAGAAGACACCAACACAGGUGGGAAAACACCUAAAUGUAACUACUUCCACUGUAAAAGGCAAAAAGUCACAGACACAGGUGGAAAAACACCUAAAUGUAACUACUUCCACUGAGAAAAGCAAGAAGACACCAACACAGGUGGGAAAACACAAAAAUGCAAAUACUUCCACUGAAAAAGCCAAUAAGGCACCAAUCCAGGUGGGAAAACACCUAAAUGUAACUACGUCUACUGAAAAAGACUCUAAGACACCAAUCCAGGUCAGAAAACACCUAAAUGUAACUACUUUAACUGAAAAAGACAAAAAGUCACUGACCCAGGUGGGAAAACACCUAAAUGUAACUACUUCUACUGUAAAAGACACUCGGACACCAAUCCAGGUGGGAAAACACCUAAAUGUAACUACUUCUACUGAAAAAGGGAAAAAGUCACUGACACAGGUGGAAAAACACAAAAAUGUAACUACUUCUACUGAAAAAGACUCUAAGACACCAAUGCAGGUGGGAAAACACCUAAAUAGAACUACUUCUACUCAAAAAGACACUAAAACACCUAUCCAGGCGGGAAAACACCUAAAUAUAACUAUUUCUACUGAAAAAGGCAAGAAGACACCAACACAGGUGGAAACACACCUAAAUGUAACUACUUCCCCUGUGAAGGGCAAUAAGACAACAACCCAAGUGGAAAAACACCUAAAUGUAUCCAUUUCCACUACAAAAGACAAUAAAAAGCCAACCCAAAAUGAAACUAUUUCUGCUGACAAGAGCAAAAACAUCUGGAAAGAAAGAACAUCCAGAAAAAUAAAUGUAACAAUACAUGGUGAGAAAGAAAACAAGUUACAACAGGAUUUUAAGACAACUACUCUCACACUGGUAACAUCUGGACAGAGAAAUGCGACUACUUUUACAAAACUGAAGAAAACUGUGAAAGAACAUCUAAAUGUAACUUCUUCCAAUGAGAAAGACCAGAAGCUUCACCAGGGUGAUGCAACACUUUCUAAAAAAGCAUCUUCUGAAAAGAGAAAGGUAGACAGCAAUAUGGGUGCAAAAAUGUCCACCGAAAAAGACAAGAAGUUACCGCAGGGUGACAAAAUAAAAGAUCUCAGAAAGGUUACAUCUGAAAAAGAAAAUACAUCUGUAAAUGUGACCACUUCUAAUGAGAGCGACACCAUAAUAGAUGCACAUGGAAAGAAAAAUGCAAACAGCCAUCAAAAAAAUGUCAUUACAACUUCUGAUGAAAAACACAAGAAGCUAGAUCAGAGUAAUAAAAGAACUGGUCUGGAGGAAAGAACACUUGUGGAAAAACAAGAAGAGAGUCAUGUAAAUGUAAGUACACAGACUAAUACUCAUGUCAAUCGGACCACAAGAUUAACAGACAUCGCAGCGAUUGAAGUUCACAACAUAACCGCCACUGGGUUUGUUAUCACAUGGGAAGCUCCACAAGGAAUAAUCAGGAAUUUUACAGUCGUAAGGAGGGAAGUUCUGUCAGGACACAGGGUUGAAGAUGGUGCAGAAAAAGAAACUGCGACAGGAAAUGAGUUACACAGUUCAAACCGAACUUCAGGUAAAGCCCACACUGAAAAGGCUGAAAGGAGGAGCACAGAGAAGUUCUCCCAGGUUCUUGCAGGCAGUGCUCGUGCCUAUCAUUUCAAGAACCUUCGACCUCAGACAAAGUACUCGGUGUCCCUGUACAGCUAUGGGCCUCGCAUGAGAUCCAAAGUUCACCAUCUUCUUGUCUCCACAGGUCCUGAACCUCCCACAGAGCUGCUGUUCAAUAAUAUUACAGAAACAUCUCUGCUAGUGUCCUGGACCAAACCUAAAAGCACAGUAACAGGAUUUAAAGUGAUAUACAUCAACUCUGCAAAUGGUGUGACAGGAUCUAUGGCAGUUGACUCCCAGUUGUCCCAUGUUCUCAUUUCCAAGCUCAGUGCUGGUUCCUCCUAUGAAAUUAGUGUCAGGUCAGUUUUGGGAGCCAUUGAAAGUGAACCGACCACAGCAUCUGUUGUUACAGUACCCGACUCUCCAACUAAUCUUCAGGCAGUGAAUGUCACAGACUCUAAAGCCUUGUUGUUAUGGAGGCCUGCAAAAGCUAAAGUCGAUAAUUAUUAUCUCAGUUAUGGAUCUUCAAAAUCUUCUAAUGUCACAGUGACGGUGAUGUUGUCUGGUAAUUCUGUUGAGCAUCAGCUCAGAGGCCUGCACAGAUCCACUCACUACACAGUGAAGAUAAUGAGUCAAAUCAACGGCCUUCAGAGUAGCUCUGUCUCCACAACCUUUACAACAGCAAGUGGAGUAAAGCUUCAGGUUGUAAAACCCAGCAACGUCAUCUGGAACUCAGCCGUGAUUUCCUGGAGGGCUCCCCAUGUGGCUUUUAGAAGCUACAGGCUUACAUACCAGAAAGAAGAAGAUGUUAAGGAAGUCAUCCUGAAUCCAGCUGUGUCCCAAUAUGAGUUGACCGAUCUGGUGGCAUCUUCUAACUAUGUUGUAAAAGUAGACGGAGAGAGCGAGGGCCAGUACAUCAGUGUUGUCUCUUCAGCGUUUACCACUGCACAACCUCCUUACCCAUACCCAGUCGAAUGCUCCCAGGUCCAACAGAAUGGGAAAAAGGAGUCAGGAGAGGCUGAGAUUUACCCUGAGGGUAAGGAUGGAGAGCCAGUGUGGGUGUACUGUGAUAUGGAGACAGCUGGAGGAGGAUGGACGGUGUUCCAGAGGAGACUUGAUGGAUCUCUUGACUUCUUUAGAGGCUGGAAAGAUUACAGCAAAGGCUUUGGAAAUCUGAGUGCUGAAUUUUGGCUCGGAAAUGAAAUGCUUCACAAGCUUACCAGCCUGGUUCCAAUGAACCUUUGGAUUGACUUGCACUCAGGAAAUGACACAGCCUUUGCUUUCUACUCAAACUUUACUGUGGGCUCAGAAAUGGCUCACUAUGUUAUGGGACUGUCUGGAUACUCCGGCACUGCUGGUAAUUCCAUGAGCUACCACAAUGGUCAUCCAUUCUCAACUAAGGACAAGGAUCCUAGUCCCAAAAAUAGCCACUGUGCUAAAUCCUACAUGGGAGGCUGGUGGUAUAAGAACUGCUACAAAGCUAAUCUAAAUGGCCUCUAUGCAACCAAUUCCCAGGACCAGGGAGUGGUGUGGAUAGACUGGAAGGGCAAGGACGUCUCCCUCCCGUUUACUGAAAUGAAGCUGCGGCCUGCAUCGCUGAACCACAGGACCCCACUGACCCAAGGCUAAAGUUGUGAAGUGAAGAGGGACCACUUACUACCUAUUUCUUAUCAGCUAACAACAUCUGCAUCGAUAAACAUUACUUAUAAAUACUUGAGGACUCAACAUCCUAAGCAGUCCGAAAUUUCAUCACACAAAUCACAGCGCUACUGAAAUUGAUGCACUGUUACAUUUUUUCCAAUGUAUAAGUUUUCCAUUAAAAAUAAAGUGUUUUUCAUUUAUACCAAAUAAAGUGCUAGUAUCUGUCAAAUUGGACAUUUAAAAUUUUA